UACGGGGGGGGCAAGCGUUGUUCGGAAUUACUGGGCGUAAAGGGCUCGUAGGCGGCCAACUAAGUCAGACGUGAAAUCCCCUCGGCUUAACCGGGGAACUGCGUCUGAUACUGGAUGGCUUGAGGUUGGGAGAGGGAUGCGGAAUUCCAGGUGUAGCGGUGAAAUGCGUAGAUAUCUGGAGGAACACCGGUGGCGAAGGCGGCAUCCUGGACCAAUUCUGACGCUGAGGAGCGAAAGCCAGGGGAGCAAACGGGG
rnacentral:rRNA from 1 species